UACAGGGGGGGGCAAGCGUUGUUCGGAAUUACUGGGCGUAAAGGGCGCGCAGGCGGCUACGCACGUCCGUUGUGAAAUCGCUCGGCUCAACUGGGCGGGGUCAGCGGAUACGGCGUAGCUGGAGCAAGCUAGGGGGCAAUGGAAUUCCUGGUGUAGCGGUGAAAUGCGCAGAUAUCAGGAGGAACACCGGUGGCGAAGGCGGGUCUCUGGGCCGUAACUGACGCUGAGGAGCGAAAGCAUGGGAAGCGAACAGG
rnacentral:rRNA from 1 species